rnacentral:rRNA from 1 species
UACGGAGGGGGCUAGCGUUGUUCGGAAUUACUGGGCGUAAAGCGCACGUAGGCGGCUUUGUAAGUUAGAGGUGAAAGCCCGGGGCUCAACUCCGGAAUUGCCUUUAAGACUGCAUCGCUAGAAUUGUGGAGAGGUAAGUGGAAUUCCGAGUGUAGAGGUGAAAUGCGUAGAGAUCGGCAGGAACACCCAGGGGGAAACCAGUCGACUGGGCAUCUACUGACGCUGAGGUGCGAGAGCGUGGGGAGCGAACCGG